rnacentral:rRNA from 1 species
GAUGAACGCUGGCGGCGUGCCUAACACAUGCAAGUCGAGCGAACGGACGAGAAGAUUUUUUUCCUGAUGUUAGCGACGGACGGGUGGGUAACACGUAGAUAACCUACUUAUUAGACUGGGAUAACUACGGGAAAACGGUGCUAAUACCGGAUAAUAUUUUCUACCGCAUGGUUCAAAAGUGAUAGACGCUCUUGCCGUUACUUAUAGAUGUAUCCGCGUUGCAUUAGCUAGUUGGUAAGGUAACGGCUUACCAAGGCGACGAUGCAUAGCCGACCUGAGAGGAUGAUCAGCCACACUGGAACUGAGACACGGUCCAGACUCCUACGGGAGGCAGCAGUGGGGAAUCUUCCGCAAUGGGCGAAAGCCUGACGGAGCAACGCCGCGUGAGUGAUGAAGGUCUUCGGGUCGUAAAACUCUGUUAUUAGGGAAGAACAGAAGUGUAAGUAUCUGUGCACAUCUUGACGGUACCUAAUGAAUAAGCCACGGCUAACUACGUG